GAUGAACGCUAGCGACAGGCCUAACACAUGCAAGUCGAGGGGCAGCACGAAGUAAGCUUGCCUACUUUGGUGGCGACCGGCGCACGGGUGCGUAACAGGUGUGCAAUCUGUCCAUAAUCGGGGAAUAGCCCAGCGAAAGUUGGAUUAAUGCUCCAUGUGAGCCGAGGAGGCAUCUCUUUGGUUUGAAACGCAAGGAUUAUGGGUGAGCACGCUUCUGAUUAGGUAGUUGGUGAGGUAACGGCUCACCAAGCCGACGAUCAGUAGGGGUUCUGAGAGGAAGGUCCCCCACAUUGGAACUGAGACACGGUCCAAACUCCUACGGGAGGCAGCAGUGAGGAAUAUUGGUCAAUGGACGGAAGUCUGAACCAGCCAAGUCGCGUGAAGGAUGAAGGUUCUAUGGAUUGUAAACUUCUUUUGUCUGAGGGUAAAACAGCGGACGUGUCCGUUCUUGCAAGUAUCAGACGAAUAAGCAUCGGCUAACUCCGUGCCAGCCGCCGCGGUAACAC
rnacentral:rRNA from 1 species